rnacentral:rRNA from 1 species
GACGAACGCUGGCGGCGUGCUUAACACAUGCAAGUCGAACGGAAAGGCCCUGCUUUUGUGGGGUGCUCGAGUGGCGAACGGGUGAGUAACACGUGAGUAGCCUGCCCUUGACUUUGGGAUAACUUCAGGAGACUGGGGCUAAUACCGGAUAGGAGCUCCUGCUGCAUGGUGGGGGUUGGAAAGUUUCGGCGGUUGGGGAUGGACUCGCGGCUUAUCAGCUUGUUGGUGGGGUAGUGGCUUACCAAGGCUUUGACGGGUAGCCGGCCUGAGAGGGUGACCGGCCACAUUGGGACUGAGAUACGGCCCAGACUCCUACGGGAGGCAGCAGUGGGGAAUAUUGCACAAUGGGCGGAAGCCUGAUGCAGCAACGCCGCGUGCGGGAUGACGGCCUUCGGGUUGUAAACCGCUUUCGCCUGUGACGAAGCGUGAGUGACGGUAAUGGGUAAAGAAGCACCGGCUAACUACGUG